rnacentral:sRNA from 1 species
UAAAAAGGCAAGGGUCUUUUAAAAUGCUUGAUGUCUGUGAGGUUGACAGGAGAAAUAUUAAAUAAAUAUACAUACACUGUUUAAGGAUUCUGUGUUUUCUUUCUCAUAGGAACCACUCGUUUUGACUAUUAUUUUAUCACUCUUUGUGAAACUUCACAAUGUUCGGGUAAGUAUUUCAUAAUUUCAUUUAGAAAAAUUUAAAAGAAAUUUCUUUGUAAAUCACACCUUUUUUUUUCUUUUUAAAGGAGGACAUUGUGAAUGAUAUUACAGCUGAACACAUUUCUAUUUGGCCAUCUUCCAUUCCCAACCUCCAGUCUGUGGACUUUGAAGCUGUGGCAAUAACAGUGAAAGAGCUAGUUCGAUAUACACUCAGUAUAAAUCCAAAUAACCAUUCUUGGUUAAUUAUCCAGGCAGAUAUUUACUUUGCAACGAAUCAGUAUUCAGCAGCUCUUCACUAUUACCUCCAGGCAGGAGCUGUGUGUUCUGACUUCUUUAACAAGGCUGUGCCCCCUGAUGUUUAUACAGACCAGGUAAUAAAACGAAUGAUAAAAUGUUGUUCUUUGCUGAAUUGCCACACACAGGUGGCCAUUUUAUGUCAGUUCCUCAGAGAAAUUGACUACAAAACAGCGUUUAAAUCUCUGCAAGAACAA